rnacentral:rRNA from 1 species
AAGUUUGAUCAUGGCUCAGAUUGAACGCUGGCGGCAUGCCUUACACAUGCAAGUCGAACGGCAGCGCGGGGCAACCUGGCGGCGAGUGGCGAACGGGUGAGUAAUAUAUCGGAACGUGCCCUGGAGUGGGGGAUAACGUAGCGAAAGUUACGCUAAUACCGCAUACGAUCCAAGGAUGAAAGCAGGGGACCUUCGGGCCUUGUGCUCCUGGAGCGGCCGAUAUCUGAUUAGCUAGUUGGUGGGGUAAAAGCCUACCAAGGCGACGAUCAGUAGCUGGUCUGAGAGGACGACCAGCCACACUGGAACUGAGACACGGCCCAGACUCCUACGGGAGGCAGCAGUGGGGAAUAUUGGACAAUGGGCGAAAGCCUGAUCCAGCAAUGCCGCGUGAGUGAUGAAGGCCCUAGGGUUGUAAAGCUCUUUUACCAGGGAUGAUAAUGACAGUACCUGGAGAAUAAGCUCCGGCUAACUCCGUG